CCUUCCUCUCGCGCGCCCGCCCGGGCCGCGCCUCCCGCGUCCCUUCCCGCCCCGGGCUGCGGCGGCUCCCGGAACCAGUGGGACGCGGCGCGCGAACUUUCUGCAGGGACCCCAGCUUCGCUCAGGGGGCCUAGUCCCCGCGACUGCGUUUGGGCCCUUCCAGGAUUGGAUCAAAAUGGGAAGUGGGUGUAUCCCAAAUAGGGACUGUUUCUUCAGCUUCUGGCCAAGAGUGAAGAGGAUGCAGAGCUGACUAACAACGGAAAUUCACGUGUGUUGAUAAUACUACAGUUAUGUUUAAAACAAGAAAAGAGUUCUUUUCUUUGGGACACACGGUCCAGAAGGAAGAGAAGGAAGAAGACAUCAAAACUGAUUUUCAGUGACCACAUUCUAUCAGGUGAAAGCACUUCCCAGGUGGCACUAGUGGUAAAGAAUCCACCUGUCAAUGCAGGAGCUACGAGACAUGGGAACCAUCACGAAGAAGAUUCAUAGGCUGAAAAUGUAAACCCUGAAAGGCUGUUUUGCUUGAGUUAAUGAAG
ensembl:lncRNA